UUAAGCGACUAAGCGUACACGGUGGAUGCCCUGGCAGUCAGAGGCGAUGAAGGACGUGCUAAUCUGCGAUAAGCGUCGGUAAGGUGAUAUGAACCGUUAUAACCGGCGAUUUCCGAAUGGGGAAACCCAGUGUGAUUCGUCACACUAUCAUUAACUGAAUCCAUAGGUUAAUGAGGCGAACCGGGGGAACUGAAACAUCUAAGUACCCCGAGGAAAAGAAAUCAACCGAGAUUCCCCCAGUAGCGGCGAGCGAACGGGGAGGAGCCCAGAGCCUGAAUCAGUGUGUGUGUUAGUGGAAGCGUCUGGAAAGGCGCGCGAUACAGGGUGACAGCCCCGUACACAAAAAUGCACAUGCUGUGAGCUCGAUGAGUAGGGCGGGACACGUGGUAUCCUGUCUGAAUAUGGGGGGACCAUCCUCCAAGGCUAAAUACUCCUGACUGACCGAUAGUGAACCAGUACCGUGAGGGAAAGGCGAAAAGAACCCCGGCGAGGGGAGUGAAAAAGAACCUGAAACCGUGUACGUACAAGCAGUGGGAGCCUCUUUAUGGGGUGACUGCGUACCUUUUGUAUAAUGGGUCAGCGACUUAUAUUCUGUAGCAAGGUUAACCGAAUAGGGGAGCCGAAGGGAAACCGAGUCUUAACUGGGCGUUAAGUUGCAGGGUAUAGACCCGAAACCCGGUGAUCUAGCCAUGGGCAGGUUGAAGGUUGGGUAACACUAACUGGAGGACCGAACCGACUAAUGUUGAAAAAUUAGCGGAUGACUUGUGGCUGGGGGUGAAAGGCCAAUCAAACCGGGAGAUAGCUGGUUCUCCCCGAAAGCUAUUUAGGUAGCGCCUCGUGAAUUCAUCUCCGGGGGUAGAGCACUGUUUCGGCAAGGGGGUCAUCCCGACUUACCAACCCGAUGCAAACUGCGAAUACCGGAGAAUGUUAUCACGGGAGACACACGGCGGGUGCUAACGUCCGUCGUGAAGAGGGAAACAACCCAGACCGCCAGCUAAGGUCCCAAAGUCAUGGUUAAGUGGGAAACGAUGUGGGAAGGCCCAGACAGCCAGGAUGUUGGCUUAGAAGCAGCCAUCAUUUAAAGAAAGCGUAAUAGCUCACUGGUCGAGUCGGCCUGCGCGGAAGAUGUAACGGGGCUAAACCAUGCACCGAAGCUGCGGCAGCGACACUAUGUGUUGUUGGGUAGGGGAGCGUUCUGUAAGCCUGCGAAGGUGUACUGUGAGGUAUGCUGGAGGUAUCAGAAGUGCGAAUGCUGACAUAAGUAACGAUAAAGCGGGUGAAAAGCCCGCUCGCCGGAAGACCAAGGGUUCCUGUCCAACGUUAAUCGGGGCAGGGUGAGUCGACCCCUAAGGCGAGGCCGAAAGGCGUAGUCGAUGGGAAACAGGUUAAUAUUCCUGUACUUGGUGUUACUGCGAAGGGGGGACGGAGAAGGCUAUGUUGGCCGGGCGACGGUUGUCCCGGUUUAAGCGUGUAGGCUGGUUUUCCAGGCAAAUCCGGAAAAUCAAGGCUGAGGCGUGAUGACGAGGCACUACGGUGCUGAAGCAACAAAUGCCCUGCUUCCAGGAAAAGCCUCUAAGCAUCAGGUAACAUCAAAUCGUACCCCAAACCGACACAGGUGGUCAGGUAGAGAAUACCAAGGCGCUUGAGAGAACUCGGGUGAAGGAACUAGGCAAAAUGGUGCCGUAACUUCGGGAGAAGGCACGCUGAUAUGUAGGUGAAGUCCCUCGCGGAUGGAGCUGAAAUCAGUCGAAGAUACCAGCUGGCUGCAACUGUUUAUUAAAAACACAGCACUGUGCAAACACGAAAGUGGACGUAUACGGUGUGACGCCUGCCCGGUGCCGGAAGGUUAAUUGAUGGGGUUAGCGCAAGCGAAGCUCUUGAUCGAAGCCCCGGUAAACGGCGGCCGUAACUAUAACGGUCCUAAGGUAGCGAAAUUCCUUGUCGGGUAAGUUCCGACCUGCACGAAUGGCGUAAUGAUGGCCAGGCUGUCUCCACCCGAGACUCAGUGAAAUUGAACUCGCUGUGAAGAUGCAGUGUACCCGCGGCAAGACGGAAAGACCCCGUGAACCUUUACUAUAGCUUGACACUGAACAUUGAGCCUUGAUGUGUAGGAUAGGUGGGAGGCUUUGAAGUGUGGACGCCAGUCUGCAUGGAGCCGACCUUGAAAUACCACCCUUUAAUGUUUGAUGUUCUAACGUUGGCCCCUGAUCGGGGUUGCGGACAGUGUCUGGUGGGUAGUUUGACUGGGGCGGUCUCCUCCUAAAGAGUAACGGAGGAGCACGAAGGUUGGCUAAUCCUGGUCGGACAUCAGGAGGUUAGUGCAAUGGCAUAAGCCAGCUUGACUGCGAGCGUGACGGCGCGAGCAGGUGCGAAAGCAGGUCAUAGUGAUCCGGUGGUUCUGAAUGGAAGGGCCAUCGCUCAACGGAUAAAAGGUACUCCGGGGAUAACAGGCUGAUACCGCCCAAGAGUUCAUAUCGACGGCGGUGUUUGGCACCUCGAUGUCGGCUCAUCACAUCCUGGGGCUGAAGUAGGUCCCAAGGGUAUGGCUGUUCGCCAUUUAAAGUGGUACGCGAGCUGGGUUUAGAACGUCGUGAGACAGUUCGGUCCCUAUCUGCCGUGGGCGCUGGAGAACUGAGGGGGGCUGCUCCUAGUACGAGAGGACCGGAGUGGACGCAUCACUGGUGUUCGGGUUGUCAUGCCAAUGGCACUGCCCGGUAGCUAAAUGCGGAAGAGAUAAGUGCUGAAAGCAUCUAAGCACGAAACUUGCCCCGAGAUGAGUUCUCCCUGACUCCUUGAGAGUCCUGAAGGAACGUUGAAGACGACGACGUUGAUAGGCCGGGUGUGUAAGCGCAGCGAUGCGUUGAGCUAACCGGUACUAAUGAACCGUGAGGCUUAACCUU
rnacentral:rRNA from 1 species